rnacentral:rRNA from 1 species
GAUGAACGCUGGCGGCGUGCCUAAUACAUGCAAGUCGAGCGAACGGACGAGAAGCUUGCUUCUCUGAUGUUAGCGGCGGACGGGUGAGUAACACGUGGAUAACCUACCUAUAAGACUGGGAUAACUUCGGGAAACCGGAGCUAAUACCGGAUGAUAUUUUGAACCGCAUGGUUCAAAAGUGAAAGACGGUCUUGCUGUCACUUAUAGAUGGAUCCGCGCUGCAUUAGCUAGUUGGUAAGGUAACGGCUCACCAAGGCAACGAUGCAUAGCCGACCUGAGAGGGUGAUCGGCAACACUGGAACGGAGACACGGCCCAGACUCCUACGGGAGGCAGCAGUGGGGAAUCUUCCGCAAUGGGCGAAAGCCUGACGGAGCAACGCCGCGUGGGUGAUGAAGGUCUUCGGAUCGUAAAACUCUGUUAUUAGGGAAGAACAUAUGUGUAAGUAACUGUGCACAUCUUGACGGUACCUAAUCAGAAAGCCACGGCUAACUACGUG